rnacentral:rRNA from 1 species
GCUAAACGCGAAGAACCUUACCUACUCUUGACAUCCAGAGAACUUAGCAGAGAUGCUUUGGUGCCUUCGGGAACUCUGAGACAGGUGCUGCAUGGCUGUCGUCAGCUCGUGUUGUGAAAUGUUGGGUUAAGUCCCGCAACGAGCGCAACCCUUGUCCUUAGUUACCAGCACGUUAUGGUGGGCACUCUAAGGAGACUGCCGGUGACAAACCGGAGGAAGGUGGGGAUGACGUCAAGUCAUCAUGGCCCUUACGGCCUGGGCUACACACGUGCUACAAUGGUCGGUACAGAGGGUUGCCAAACCGCAAGGUGGAGCCAAUCCCAGAAAGCCGAUCCCAGUCCGGAUCGGAGUCUGCAACUCGACUCCGUGAAGUCGGAAUCGCUAGUAAUCGCGGAUCAGCUAUGCCGCGGUGAAUACGUUCCCGGGUCUUGUACACACCG